AAUGAACUAAUCAAAGGACAACAGAAACUAGGUCAAGACAAACAUGAGGGAAGAAAACAAACUAAAAGUUGUGAUCGUGGCA